GUGGUGUAACUGGUUAUUUUGGAGGUGGUGUAACUGGUUAUUUUGGAGGUGGUGUAACUGGUUAUUUUGGCGGUGGUGGAACUGGUUAUUUUGGCGGUGGUGUAACUGGUUAUUUUGGAGGUGGUGGAACUGGUUAUUUUGGCGGUGGUGGAACUGGUUAUUUUGGCGGUGGUGUAACUGGUUAUUUUGGCGGUGGUGUAACUGGUUAUUUUGGAGGUGGUGGAACUGGUUAUUUUGGAGGUGGUGGAACUGGUUAUUUUGGCGGUGGUGUAACUGGUUAUUUUGGCGGUGGUGGAACUAGUUAUUUUGGAGGUGGUUGAACUGGUUAUUUUGGAGGUGGUGGACCUGUUUUUUUUGGAGGUGGAGGAACUGGUUAUUUUGGAUUUGGUGGAACUGGUUAUUUUGAAGGUGGUGGGGCUGGUUAUUUUGGAGGUGGUGGAGCUGGUUAUUUUGG
rnacentral:lncRNA from 1 species